GCAGGGGUCGCCCAGCCCGGUCAAUCUCGCGUGAAAUCAUGGCGUGAUGUAACGAUCGAGAGACCAACGGCGCGAGGCUUAGGACCUCGUCUCGUAGGAGUUCGCGGGUUCGAAUCCCGCCCCCUGCA
rnacentral:tRNA from 1 species